rnacentral:sRNA from 1 species
AUUCUGCCCAUGCGGGGAAGGAUGAGAAGCUUCGACCAAGGUUCGACUCGAGCGCCAGCGAGAGAGCGUGGCCGCAGGCAACGACCCGAAGGGUGAAGCGCGCAGCGCUGAGUAAUCCUUCCCCCACCACCA